AACGCGAAGAACCUUACCAGGUCUUGACAUCCUUUGACCACUCUAGAGAUAGAGCUUCCCCUUCGGGGGCAAAGUGACAGGUGGUGCAUGGUUGUCGUCAGCUCGUGUCGUGAGAUGUUGGGUUAAGUCCCGCAACGAGCGCAACCCUUAUUGUUAGUUGCCAUCAUUUAGUUGGGCACUCUAGCGAGACUGCCGGUGGUAAUCUGUGAGGAAGGUGGGGAUGACGUCAAAUCAUCAUGCCCCUUAUGACCUGGGCUACACACGUGCUACAAUGGGAAGUACAACGGGCGUCGACCGCGCUAGCAGAUGCUAAUCUCUUAAAGCCCCUCCCAGUUCGGAUUGUAGGCUGCAACUCGCCUACAUGAAGCCGGAAUCGCUAGUAAUCGCGGAUCAGCACGCCGCGGUGAAUACGUUCCCGGGCCUUGUACACACCG
rnacentral:rRNA from 1 species